rnacentral:rRNA from 1 species
CCGUAACUAUAACGGUCCUAAGGUAGCGAAAUUCCUUGUCGGGUAAGUUCCGACCUGCACGAAUGGCGUAAUGAUGGCCAGGCUGUCUCCACCCGAGACUCAGUGAAAUUGAACUCGCUGUGAAGAUGCAGUGUACCCGCGGCAAGACGGAAAGACCCCGUGAACCUUUACUAUAGCUUGACACUGAACAUUGAGCCUUGAUGUGUAGGAUAGGUGGGAGGCUUUGAAGUGUGGACGCCAGUCUGCAUGGAGCCGUCCUUGAAAUACCACCCUUUAAUGGCUGGUGUUCUAACGUAGACCCGUAAUCCGGGUUGCGGACAGUGUCUGGUGGGUAGUUUGACUGGGGCGGUCUCCUCCUAAAGAGUAACGGAGGAGCACGAAGGUUGGCUAAUCCUGGUCGGACAUCAGGAGGUUAGUGCAAUGGCAUAAGCCAGCUUGACUGCGAGCGUGACGGCGCGAGCAGGUGCGAAAGCAGGUCAUAGUGAUCCGGUGGUUCUGAAUGGAAGGGCCAUCGCUCAACGGAUAAAAGGUACUCCGGGGAUAACAGGCUGAUACCGCCCAAGAGUUCAUAUCGACGGCGGUGUUUGGCACCUCGAUGUCGGCUCAUCACAUCCUGGGGCUGAAGUAGGUCCCAAGGGUAUGGCUGUUCGCCAUUUAAAGUGGUACGCGAGCUGGGUUUAGAACGUCGUGAGACAGUUCGGUCCCUAUCUGCCGUGGGCGCUGGAGAAUUGAGGGGGGCUGCUCCUAGUACGAGAGGACCGGAGUGGACGCAUCACUGGUGUUCGGGUUGUCAUGCCAAUGGCACUGCCCGGUAGCUAAAUGCGGAAGAGAUAAGUGCUGAAAGCAUCUAAGCACGAAACUUGCCCCGAGAUGAGUUCUCCCUGACUCCUUGAGAGUCCUGAAGGAACGUUGAAGACGACGACGUUGAUAGGCCGGGUGUGUAAGCGCAGCGAUGCGUUGAGCUAACCGGUACUAAUGAACCGUGAGGCUUAACCUU